ACAGAGCUUUGCCUUUUUCAAACAGACAAACCUUCCAUGCAACCUAUAUCUGCGGUUGUUCUCUGGUAUCCCUUUCCAACACUCUUCCCCUGGUGUAGGAAGCUUCAGUUGGCUCUACACUGUAGAAUUAAUGCAUUUUGACAUCAUUUUAACUGUCAUAGUUCAAUGGUAUGGAAACCUCGUCGAGGCACCAGCACUGUCUUUGGCUGAGAAGGCUAAAGACUACAGCUCCCAUUAUUCUAUAUUCUUUAGCCAUGGCAGUUAAAAGUGGUGUCAAACUUCAUUAAUAUUCAGUGUAGCUGCAUCCUGAAUAUCUGUCUGCAGCAAAAAUGCUAUUCAAAGAGCGUGGUGAUUACAUAAAUGAAGUGGCUUCUUCUGGCAUGAACAUCUUCUUCUGAACAUGGAGCAACAGUGAGAGCACAGCAGCCUGGGAUAGUAUGGCCACAGAAAUGUGUGAUUAGUCUGAAUUAUUAUGAAGACACAAUGGCUUUAUUCUUCCUGUCAACUGUGUGAGAGAAAGUCUGGAUUAGCCAUUCCUAGGGAUCAGCAGAAGAUUCGAGGCAAGCAGGCAGAAGGACGGCUAACUUUUUGAACCUAAGCGGGCUUUGCUGGGCAGGGGUGACAGUUGUAACGUCUUUAGCAUGGAUUUGAAUGUGAAUCCUAUCUGCUGGAGCAGCUGAUGCUAUGACUUGGCAAUAUGAUAUAAUAAUCUUUGUGACACAAAUGUUGGACGUUUUUGUUGCACGUCCUAAAAGAGAUUUAGGAAAUUAAUGUUAAAUUGAGGAUAUAAAAUACUCCAUUCUCUCCCGCUCUCUCAUAUGCACAUAGUAAUUCCCAGCUACAAUAAAUAUGAGAAAAUA